UUUUUUCCCUUCUUGUCAAAGGUUGUCUCUGUGUCCAUUGUACAUCACAACCUUGUUAUAAAGAAUAGAAUAUAAUAUAUCCUGUUUAGCUGACUUACGAGUCAUGUGUGUGCGUACAUUUGACAUAAGAGUCGUCACGGGAACCUGGCGUUGCAAGCGUCAUGCUUUAUCAACUGAGCUACAGCUGACCACUCUUUUAGUCUUUGUUACUUAAUGGUCUGUUAGUUUUUUUUUUUAUCAACUUCUUUGUUGCCCUAGAGUGGACUUUAGCUUUUCGAACACCCCACCCUUCUUAUGACAUUAUUGUGGCACCUGUCAAUCACAUGAUGGCAACCACGCCCUGUCCAGCUCUGAGCUGUCGCUGCAUAUGGCCAAGUCAUGGUGUUGUCAUUUUGGAGGCCUUAGCUAAGAUAAAAAUUCAUAUGAAAAGCCCAUUGGAAUCCUAUAUCUAGGCAUGAAACUGGUUUGUCAAGAGUGGGGCCACUUGGGGAUUAUAUAUACCUUAACAAGCCACAAUACAUCUGUACUGAGCACACACGUAAGCUGAUAAGAAGCCAUAAACAUGUCCACAGUUUCUCCAACAUGUCUUAACAGCUCAGACAAACUCCAAAGCUGUUAAACAUUAGAAGAUAGGACCAUUGCUUUGUCAGUGUCAUCAUUGUUAACUUUGACAUAAAGGCUGUUGCGUAACAAACACAUGAGUCAGAAUGUACCAUAUUGUUCAGGUACAGUACUGCAGGUAGCUCACUAGUAAACAAACAGCUGGAAGGAUAACAGUGACGGGGCCUGCAGAAGACUUUCCUUUUACCUGAUAUCCGCCUAACAACAAUCCACUUCUCAUCUCUCUGGAUCACACGGCUUUAGCAGGUUCAGAGUCUACCGGAAUAUACCAACUCCCUGUGUUUUGAGUGAAAGCCUUUGUUUGGAAAUAGCCGCUCAUUGUAGAGUCACCGUACCUACACUGGUAGGCUGGUCGCAGUCAUAUUGGAGCUGUGUAGUUAAUUGUUUACAGAGAAGCCUUCAGGCCUGGAACACAGCAGGAUGAGGAGACUGAACCGGGUUAGUGCCUCUGGCCGUUACAACCCUGCCAUGGAGAUGGAGAUGACUGAUGGAGUCAACCAGUCCGAACAGCAGCCAGUUGUUGGGACUGCGAUCUCAAAGACGUCUGUGUCCAGUGCUGCGAAGGCAGCUGCCCAGUGGGCGUCUUACACCUGCAGCCGCUGGAAACGAGCCUGCCGUCAGUGUGUGAAGAGAAAACCCACAGGGGAAUUCUUUGAGACCAUGUACAAAGGCCUGGCCUUGGAUGAAGAUGUCAUAGAUGGAGGAGACAAAAGCUCCCACCUCAAUAAAAGACUGCUAGACCAUUUCAGAGAUCUGGCUUCCAGCAAUCAGGACACUGAUGAGGUGGACCUUCAGUACCUGAGUGAUGUAAUCGCAGAUGGAGCCGACCCCAACUCAACGGACCGAUACGGACAAACUGUCUUGCAUGAGAUCUCGAGGGCCUGGAACGUGGACGUGAUGCGUUUCUUCCUGGACAGGGGGGCUGAUGUUCUGCGUCCUGACUCCUACGGGGUCACGCCCCUGCAUGUUGCCGCAGCUCUGGACUACGAGGAGAUGAUCCACUUCUUGUUGGAGAGAAAAGCCGACAUUGGUGCUCAGACCAACAUGGAUCAUCAGACACCUCUGCACUACGCUGCUAAGAACGACGCGGUGGGGGCAGUCAGGGUGCUGCUGCAGUAUGGGGCAGACAUCUCCGCACGAGACUACAAAAGGAGAACCCCUCUACAACUGGCUGCCAACCUAGACAGGAGUGAGGCUGCACGGACACUAAUGGAACUAGGGGCUGAUGCUGGGGUAAAGGACUCUGAUGGUCAGCUUUGCAUCACCGCCAUGAUUGACAAGAUGACCUCCGUGGCUCAUUUGGCUCUGAACCAGUUCCAUGUGACUGACCGGAUGACCAGGCAGCAGUUCUACUACCUUCACCUGCUGGAGCCAGAGCCACCCUGCAAGCAGAAUCCACCAGGACAGGGCUCACAAGAGGGUGUUGCCAGUGAGCCUACAUCACCAUUGGAGUUCAUAGUACACCAGGGGAAGUUGGAUCUCAUCAUGCACCCUGUGGUUCUGAAGCUCAUCAAUGUCAAGUGGAAACUAUAUGGCAGGUUGGGGGCUUGGAUACUUCUACUCCUUAACUUCCUGUUUAUAGUCUCCUGGACGACCGUGGCCAUCUCUGUGUCUGUCAUCCGAACCGAGGAGCCUUAUGUUUUCCCUGAGGACUGGUGGCGUGUGUUUGGGGUGGUGGUGGCUCUGGGGCUGACAGUGGUGGAGGUGGGCCGGGAAGUGGCAGAGAUGAUAGGCUCCAGCAGGAAGCUAAGGAGCUGGCAGAGUUGGUGUGAACAUCGCACCAACGAUGACCUGCGCUGCACACACCCAAUGUGGCCCGAGGAAAAACAUUUCUUGGAAGAGCAAAUCAAGUUGAUCCACCGCAUGAAGGGAAACUACUUACAAGACCCCUGGAACAUCUUUGAUUGGCUGGUGUACAUUCUGCUGAUGGCAGUGUUCGGGAUCCAUGUGGCAGACAUCUUCUUGCUUGGAGGAACACUGCGGGACUACAGCCUGCGCCUCUUCGCUGUGGUCAUCAUCUUCCUCUGGCUCCGUCUGAUGAAACACGUCCGAGCCUUCAGGGUUAUGGGUCCUUUCAUUGUCAUGCUGGGGAAGAUUGUGGGGGAUGUGCUACGUUUCCUCUUCCUAUAUGCAGAGAUCUUUAUCCCUUACGCGUGUGCCUUCUGGAUUAUAUUUGGAGGUCAGGCGUCAAUACCCAGUAUGCGGACUGUACCCCAGCUGCUCUACAGCCUGUACCGCAUCACUCUGGUGGACGAGUAUGAGUUCAACGCCAUGGUGGAAGUGGACUCGAUCAUGGCCCACUUCCUCUGUGGUACCUUUCUGGCUCUGUCCUCCAUUCUGUGUGUCAACCUGAUGAUUGCCCUUCUCUCGGACACCUUCCAAAGGGUGUAUGACAAUGCACUGGCCAAUGCAGUAAUGCAGCAAGCAGCCAUUAUCCUGCAGGUGGAGGAAUCCAUGCCCCGUCUCUGUCGUUUCUAUGACGACCAGCACAUCCACCGCUUCUGUGCCCCUCUUGGGGAGUUAUACGAUGAUGACAUCAGAACUGACUCAAAGCGGCACGCAGAACUGAAGACGAUCACCACUCAGAUCAAGGAGACCCUAGAUGAGUUCCUGGAGAUCCAAAAAGAAGUGAAUCCCUCCGAACAAGGACGACCUGAUGAGAGUGACAGGGGCUCAGGGGAGAGGUACUUCUCAUCCCCUGUACAGGGGGAACACCUGCAGAGUCUGCAGAGGCUCCAGAUAGACCAGACCCAGCAGAGCCAGGAUCUCAGUGCCCUGAGGGCAGACAUGAAGAACCUGCAGGCGCUGAUCCACCAACUGAUCCAAUCCCAGACCAGCUCGUGUCAGUAUUAUGUUGACCUCGUAAAGAACCUUCUAUACAGGGUCUAUACACUAAAGACAGACCCGAUAACUAGUCUAGUGCAGUCUGACUGGCUUUGACUAAACAAAGAGUAAAGUCCAUUCAAAACCAGAGGGAGUGCAUAUCUUGGAUUAAGAGUCUUUACACAUGAUAAAGUAAUUUGAACUGACGUCAUGACUCUAUCAUUCAAAUAAGAGAAGCUCUACCAUAUAAAUAGAAUCCAUGGACUUCACUCUUUCUUUAGUCUUUGACCCAGUCAGACUGCACUUCACUAGUUCUAUUUCUUUGAGGCCUACUAUGAUAAACUGUGCCUGUUUCUUCUGUGUAUUUCUGUGCUAGAGUAUAGCUAUAUUUCACUGUCUCCUGUCUGUCCGUAGCUGACAGAUUACUUUAUUUUGUCUCUGUGCAGGUGUGGGCUGUGGUGUGACUGUGACAGCAGAAAGCACUGAGUCAGAGCCCGUCGAAGCGCCACCAUACAGGGCCUCAACAGGGUGACUCCUUGAUGCUGA